rnacentral:misc_RNA from 1 species
UCCGAGUUGACCCCGGCAGUCUCUUAUGAGUCCCCACCAUUACGUGCUGGCAACAUAAGACGAGGGUUGCGCUCGUUGCGGGACUUAACCCAACAUCUCACGACACGGGCUUUCACCCGCUUUAACUAGCAUGUCAAGCCUAGGUAAGGUUCUUCGCGUUGCAUCGAAUUAAGCCACAUGCUCCGCCGCUUGUGCGGGUCCCCGUCAAUUCUUUUGAGUUUUAGCCUUGCGACCGUACUCCCCAGGCGGCGCAUUUAUCGCGUUAGCUUCGCCACAGAAGGGGUCGAUUCCUCCUACAGCAAAUGCGCACCGUUUAGGGCCGGGACUAC